rnacentral:lncRNA from 1 species
UUAUAUUAGAGUAAAAUUUGUGUAUAAAGGUAAUAGACUUGAUUUGCUACACAUAUGUGAAAUUUGAGAAUAAUUGAAUGAUUUGAAUAUAGAAUAUUGGUUUUGAAAGUUUAAUAUUUAGAUUGGAGUAGAAUGCCAUUCAAUACUUGAGAGGAUUUUAGGAUUUUCUUUUUAUUUGGUAAGUUUGAUUAUCUUCAAACUUUGUGUGUUUUUUUCUAAUUUAUUUUUCAAAAAGUUUAUAGAAUUUUAACAAGAUCAACUAUAUAAUUGAUAGAUAUUGAAGUUCUAAAUUGUACCAGGAUGAGGUUGAGUUCAUUAGAUUUUAGUUAAGAUUUGAUUUAGAAUUAGGAUAAGAUUAGGGCAUAGUAUUUGAUUAAGUUUUGAUCAAGGUUUAGGAUU